rnacentral:rRNA from 1 species
AUGCCCAAUCGCCGGCGGAAGCGCGAGCCCGACGACGGAGGGGGCGCCGCUGCCGCGGCCGGUGCUGGUGGCGCCGGCGCGGAUGAGAGCAAGAGGGAUCUUGAUUUGCGCAUCACCAACAUCCUGGCCGAGUACCACGCGCCCCGCCCCACACGCCGCGCGCUCCCCCUCCUCGAGCUCAACGGCCGGGUUCUUGCGGAGGAGGACGAGGAGGGGGAGGCCGAGGUCGUCUCCCCGCUCACGGCCCCGGCCCCGGCCCUUCCGGUCGUGGUCGUCGACGGGCGGCCGUCCAAGCGCCGGGUCGUCGCCGGCGGGGGAGGAGGAGGGGACGAGGCCUCGCCGUACCAGCGCCGGCUGUGGGUCAAGGACCGGUCCAGCGAGUGGUGGGAGCUGCGGAGCAGCCCGGGGUACCCGGAGGCGGAGUUCCUGCGGGAGUUCCGGAUGGGCCGCGCCACGUUCGGCAUGGUCUGCGACGCGCUCGGCGCCGCCGUCGCCAAGGAGGACACGGCGCUACGCGCCGCCAUCCCGGUGCGGCAGCGCGUGGCCGUCUGCGUCUGGCGCCUGGCCACCGGCGAGCCGCUCCGGCUCGUCUCCAAGCGCUUCGGCAUCGGCAUCUCCACCUGCCACAAGCUGGUCCUCGAGGUGUGCGCCGCCAUCCGCUCCAUCCUCAUGCCGCGCUUCCUCCGGUGGCCGGACCGCGGCUCCGCCGCCUCCGCCGCCGUGAAGGCCAGCUUCGAGGCCAGCUCCGGCGUGCCGGACGUGGUGGGCGCCAUGUACACCACCCACAUCCCCAUCAUCGCGCCCAAGGUGCACGUCGCCUCCUACUUCAACCGCCGGCACACGGAGCGCAACCAGAAGACGUCCUACUCCAUCACGCUGCAGGGGGUGGUCGGCCCCGACGCCACCUUCACCGACGUCUGCAUCGGCUGGCCGGGCUCGCUCGCCGACGACCAGGUGCUCGACAAGUCGGCGCUGCAGCAGCGCGCCGCGGCCGGGAUGAUGGAGGGGUCCUGGGUGGUCGGCGGCGCCAGCUACCCGCUCACCGACUGGUGCCUCGUCCCCUACACCCACCAGAACCUCACCUGGACGCAGCACGCCUUCAACGAGAAGGUCGCCCAGCUCCGGGACGUGGCCGUCGACGCCUUCUCGCGCCUCAAGAGCCGCUGGGCCUGCCUGCAGAAGCGCACCGAGGUGAAGCUCCAGGACCUGCCCGUGGUGCUCGGCGCCUGCUGCGUGCUCCACAACAUCUGCGAGGCCAGAGGGGAGGCCAUGCCGCCGGAGCUACGGGUGGAGGUGGAGGACGACCUGGCCGUGCUGGACAACCCCGUGCGCUCCGACGCCGCCGCCAAAGCCAGGGACAAGAUCGCGCACAACCUCCUCCACCGCGGCCUCGCCGGCACAGCCUUCUUCUAA